CUUUCUUCAAGUCUCUAAUUUUGCAUAUGAGAAACACUAAGACUCAGCAGAUAAGGAUGGAGGCGACUCAACAUCACACUGAGACAGGUCAUCUGGGACCCAUGGUUUCUAACUUCUAGACCGAAUCUCUUUCUUUCGAAUGUCCAGAUCAUCUCUCCUUCUUCUAAAAACCAAAGAGGCCUCUGCAUGCCUCUCCCUGGAUAUGAGCCCUGCAUUUCUGAAUGCCUUGAAAGAAAAACCAGCAAGUUGGGAGGGCCGUGUCUCCUUAUCAUCUUCCAGGAAUUCAAAACCGUGAUUUCCAGUUUCCAAAUGCAACUCAAGCUCCAUCACCCUGUACAUCUUGCACGGUUUCUCCAGCAUAUCCUGAUCGCCACCUCCAGACCCUUCUGAUAGAUUCAUUACCUGAAUCUAUUUGAUUCAUAAUUAUUUUCAAAUUGGAAAUGGAAAAGUAUUUUCUACUCCAGAAUCAAAAUUACCCCACAUGGAUGAAGCUGUACUACAGAAAGAAAUAAUAAUGUUGGCACCCAGAGAGAAAGGAUAGUCAGAGAUGCAGAAAGCAAGACUGCUAAUGGAGUUUCAAACUUGGAUUCCAAUUACUCUCCCGGACUUCCUGUAAUUCAAAUAUCAGCUUCUCCUUUGAUUAUGUGACCUUACUAGAUGUCCUGCCAAUAAAUUCACUUCUUAUCUAACCUCUGUUAGUUCACUUACUGUUGCUUAUAUACAAAGGACUCCUGAAUAACAUAGAAAUAUAUUCUUGAAUAACAUACACCAAUAUAUUAACAGUACUUAUCUCUGGAUUUUCUCUUUUACUUAUCUGCAUUUACCACUGCUUUAUAAGGAACCCCAAAUAUUUACGUACUUUUAUAAUAACUUACUCUUUUUUGUCAUGGUGAUUUGUCUACUUAUCUGAUUAAAAUAGAAAUACUUUUCAGAAGAAUAACAAAUGUAAUUGUGAAGAAAUUCAGUAGAUAUGAGGCAUCCAUUACCACUGGG
rnacentral:lncRNA from 1 species